UAGGGCCAGAAUGCCAUGCCUUCUCUUUUUACUGCAGCAUCAUCCUGUCAGGUUGCUAAAGAGCUUGAUGCCCGAUAGAAAACAGAGAGGUGGGCUGCAUCUACAGACAUGACACGAAGUGCCGUAUGUCUUCAGAGAAUUAACUGACAUCCACCUGGAUAUGAUCGGAUUUUGUUUGUGUCUAUCGUCCCCGGAUAUUAUUGUAUCUUCCUUAUUUUAUUAUAUUAUACAAAGGGAGAAAUACACAGGCAUGCAGCUGAGGGCUUACUCCGAGAGCUCGCCGACAUUCUUCUCCGUGUUCUUUAUUCCUUGUGUCUAAACUCGGUGUGAAGUAUUUUUCAUUAAAGAAAAAUUUAUCAUGA